rnacentral:lncRNA from 1 species
CAGGAAUUCCACUUAAUCUUAUGCAGUUUCCCCAGUUGUUAGACUAGGUUCAGUGGUCUCUCAGUAGCUCUGGUCAGCUGAUACUAUGGCUUUCACGAUUAUUAUCUGUAAUGUUUCGAUGUUUCGUGCAUAUUAUCUCUAUUCCCUCUGUUUUUGCCAAAGAACUAGAAAAAAAUACAUCCUGUGUGAGGGACUAUAUAUAUAUAUAUAUAUAUAUAUAUAUAUAUAUGUGUGUGUGUGUGUGUGUGUGUGUGUGUGUGUGUGUAAAUUAGACACAUGGAGAGAUAGCAUUAUAAUUCAUGGCAAUAAAUAUUUAUUCAGAAAUUUUGAUUAUGCAAUAAAAGGUAUUGCACAAUUAAUAUUGAUUUAAUAUACAUUAUACAUAUUAUUUAGUACCUAAAAUCAUUUAUAGAAAAUUAGGAAAAUAGAUCACUGUGAAUAUGCAUCCUGAUGCAUCUCAGUGUUACUACAAUUAAAAUCCUGAAAAGACUGGAUAUUGUCUUCUGGAUUGUUACAAUUUUGUCAAAAGGAGCAAAAUAUCUGUUCAGCCACCAUUAGUCAAUGUUGGCUACUGCUAAAUAGAGGCAGAGGCACAGGUAAAUGAUAUUUCAUCCUGUCUUCCUAAUUCUAUUCCACUGUUUCUUUAACACAAACAUGGAGGGGGAGAGAUAGAUAAUUAGCAGCUAAGAUGGAGAUCUUAAAAACUUGUUGCCAUUUGUUUCAAUGUUUGAGUUUGAGAGCUCACUUAUGAUUUUUUCCUAGUGAAUCUCUAAAUGUAUGCCCUCCUCCAAUAAGAGGCAUUCACAUCUAAUAAAAAUGUCAUAACUGGAGGAUAUUCCCAGUCAGACUCCUGGCUAAUGUGCAGCUAAGAGAUGGAUUCUAGCCAAAGCCUGACUGUCAACAAUCUAGAGAAGGGAUACUGUUAUGGAGACUUGACUGAGAUUGUGGAGAUCAAACCCUAGAAUAGGGAAGGUAAACAGUGGGCUUUUCCAAAAUCCUUCUGUGAGUAACUGGUCCUGUUUGCUGUUGCUGCAAGCACAGAUUCAGCCAUAAUAUCUGUGAUUGCUGGCUUAUUUUGGAUCCUGCAGUUUGUGCAAGUAAAUUUACUCUUAAUCAGUACUUGGCAGAAACUGGGCUCAUAUUGAUCCAAUAGGCCCUUGGAGAAUACAGUAUAAAUGUCUAUGAAUGGUAGAAAUCUUAGUUAGCCAUCUGAAACUGUGCAUUUCAAGUACCAGAUUCCACGAAUAAGUGCUUCUGUAAAUCUGACAUUACAUCAAGCACAAUACUAGCAAGAAGCAAUUGGCAGCACAGAAUCAUAAUCAGCCAUCAGAAGGCAGAGAUAAGGAAUUGUUUUUGAGACAGGGUAAAUUGUGUAAUUUUGCCACCUAUUAUUGGACUUGCUGUGGAAACCAGGCUGGCCUCAAACUCACACAGAACCGGCUGUGUCUGCACACAGAGUGCUGAAAUUAAAGUCUUGCAACACCAAAGACCCACAAGAUAAAGAUGUUAUCUCGAUAGCCUGGAUAUCAGCACAAGCAGGUAACUAUAUGAUCAUGCCUACUUACACCAUAUGUUUUUCAUUUUUUGUUUAUGUUAUUUAUGGCCUAAAAUAUUAUUAUAUUUGCAGUCACCUGCUUUCUAUAUUGUGGUGUAUACAGCAGCACACAUUGUGUAGGGAGGGAGAAAUGAGGCAGGAGCUCUGAUCUAGAACUCCAAGCUUUCCUGAGGAUUUGCUUUCCAUUGGUGGGAAUGAGAUCACCCUCCCUAUUGGUGCAGUUCACUAGCAAAAUUUCAAUUCACACAGAACUUCAGAGAGAGGCAAGGAGAGCUAAUAUGUUGUCAGAAUUGUUGGUUAUUAUCAGGUAGUCUCUAGCUAUCUUCCAAAACUCAAUUGCUCCUUGUCAUAACAGAAACCCACUGUCUAUUUUCCCAGACAAAGGCAACUAUCUGUUCCAUGUGCACGCACAAUAGGCAACACAUACAAAUUAGUAAAUUCAAGGAUGAUUAGAUUCCUUAUUCUAUAUCUGUGAUUAACUUGAUCCAGUUACCUCUACAGUAAGGAGAUUCCCCCUUAUUGAACUACUCAAUUUCUUGAAAACUGAGAAAUCUGUUUGUUGCACUUAAAAUUCGGCAGUACCUGCAUUAAAAAAUACUUCACUUGAAGAUUAGGUAUCUGACAUAGACUAGGGAAGUUCUGCUGUUUCCUCUACCCUAGGAGUGCCAAUGUGGGACUGGCUAUUACAUUGUAGUUUUAUUCAUGAAUUCUUUGAGUGACUGAAAUUACAAGCAGUAAUAUCUGCAAAAGUGCAUGUGAAUGAUAUAGAUAGAUCUGAACACUUGCACAAGCAAUGGUUGUGCUGAAUAGAACAGCACACAGGCAGACUCAUCUAGCAGGAAAGGGUACACACAAACCUACACAACACAUUGUCAGUCUCACUGUUCUCUGACAGGCUAUAUAUAGCCUUUGUCAGGUUUCAGAUUAACAGUGUCUGCAAAACUUUGUCAUAAAUCCCUGCUCUCCACUACCACCUGCAAUACAACAGUCUUUGUUAUGGUAGGGUCAAGUCAUUGGAUAUAGUCUGUAUGGUACACUUGUGACCAGGAAUACCCAGACCCGAUUAUUCAGCCCUCAUAUCUAUACUUUUGAAAGGAAACUGAUCAGAAUAGUAGACAUUAGGUGAUUCACAUUUGAAAUUUAUUAUAACUUGUUUCUUCAUGAAAUGAGUAUAGAAGUCAUCAUACAUGUGUUAUUCUAAUUUUCAUAAUGCAUCAUAGUACUUUUUAUUACUAAAUAGAAAUUACCUGUUCCUGAGAUACCUGCAAGCAUACAUGUAGCAAAAUUUGUUCUGUCUUGUUAGUUUCCCAGUUAACUCUUUUAAUUGUUAAUUGAAAGCCAGUUUCAGAAGAGUUGUACAAUUUGGAUGCAUUCAAUUGUAUCUGACUAAAAUUUGUUCAAAUUGUUAAAAAAAUAAUUUGUUAUGAUUCAAGGAAAUAUCCUCACUAAGUCCAAAUAGAAUUACAAUAUACUUAUUGUCCAUUUUGAUUGAGUCUUAAAUUUUGCGGAUUGUUCCAGUUCAGGUACUUAAUUUCACCAGUAAAUCUCUGAUGUUUUGCCUAUGAUUAUAGCUUUCCACACACACAGAGUGACACCCAGACACACACUUCCUUAUAUUACUGUGUCCUUGAGAACAAACAGUUUAUGCAUUUUUGAGAAUAUAUGCUCACAUUAUUAUUACUGGUGUAAUAACAUUUUCUAAGAUUUUUUAGGGUCUAAUAUAACAAAACAAAUUGUAGUAGGCAAAAUAUAUGAGGGUACAUAAUGUUAAUAUAGGAUCAUAUUUUCUCUUUUCAUUGUACAAGAGGCACAUGUAUUUAAAUAGAAUAACCUUUUGUUUUAAAAUAUUGGCAAUAGCAAUAUUAAAUUAUGUUGAUACAAUAAGAGUGUGGUAGCAGUAUAGAUUUUAUAGACAACAAACCCCAAUAAUGAUUUUAAUGAGUUUCAUUUAUUUAUGUAUAUUCAUCUGAAGCAAUUUCUAAUAGAUAAGCAUUUAGAUACAGAAAAUUAAUGAUGACAUAGUAUACAUCAUAAUUUAACCACAAGAACAGUAGCAUUAUUUUAGCACUAAGAGUGGUUACAAAGAAUCUGUUUCCCAUUGUCUGUUGUAGUGGGGAAUGCUUGUCACACCAAUUUGAAGGCUGACACAUGUGAGGCUGUCCAUGCCCACCAACAUCAGGAGGCUUGCACAGGGAGAAGUGCUGAACUAAUGAACCCAUAGAUUGCAGAAGCCUUCAGACUGCCACCAACCUUCAUGUGGUCCACAAGUGACCUAUUCUGCUUUCCCAGUGCACGUUUAGAUGUGAGGGAGAAAUGAAUCAGCAGCUCUGAAGGAGAUCCCCAAGCUUUCCUGAGGAUUUGCUUUCCAUUGGCGGAAAUGAGAACACACUCCUUAUUGGUUCCAGACUCCCAGCAAAAUGUGAAUGCUCACAGACCUUCACUGAGAGGGAAGGAGAAACUAAAUGUCAAAAUUGCAGAUUCUUACCAGUCAGUCUCUGGCUGUGUUCUGAAAUUCAGUUGCUCCUGGGCAUAAAAAAAAAAAAAAAAAAAAAAAAAAAAAAAAACUGUCUUUUUUCUCCCAGACAAUGCCAACUAGCAGUUCCUGAUAUAUGCUAGAGACAAUAACAUACAAAUUAGGACAUUAGGGGAUUGUAGUACAGAUGUGAUUAACCUGAUCUUGUCACCUGUACAACAAGGAGAUUCCUGGUUAUUGACAACAUUAUCUUUAAAACUGUGAAAACUGUUUGAUGGACUUGAAGUGCUGCAGUACCUACAGUAAAAAUAUUUCACAUGUGGAUUUUGUGUCUGACAUAGCCUAGGGGAGUCCUGAUGUUUCCUCUCCCCUGGGACAUCUAUUGUGGGAAUGGUGAUUACAUUGUAGUUUUAUUUAUGAAAUCUUUGAGUUAUUAUAAUUACAAGAAGUAACAUCUCUAUAAGUGCAUGUGAUGGAAAUAAACAAUCUGUAUUCCUUGA